rnacentral:piRNA from 1 species
UAAGAAGUAAUCCUAGAGAGGCCUGGUGCA